UAAAGGCUGUGGUUUAUUGAGGGUGGGUGGGCAGGGAAAGUGAAGUCAAAUAAUGCCAGCAGCCACGGGGUGAAGUGAUCUGUGACACUGUCCUGUGAGAUACACAAGGGGCAUAGAGCAUUUUACACUGACAGCUGCUACACCGAUUACAACAAGGCUCCACAGGCUCGCACCUCCCGUGUAACAUUUGCAUCUUCAGUUGGUUUAUAUACAAGUGUGCAAACAGUCUGUAAGUGCGCACAGUUUAAUCUUAAGGAGCAUGAAACACCAGAAGUAGGAGAAGAGUGAUAACCACAGAGUAGCUCAGCUGGACACUGGGCAGUCCCAGUGCCCCAUCAGCUGUGGUUCUUUUGCUCCCUUGUGUUCUUUGGAUAUGUCUAUGGCAUUUCUAGGCUUGAAAGUAAAAUGAUGCUAUCUGGUGCUGGAUUGAGGAGCCUUAUUUUUUAUUAUGGCAGCUUGCUAUUUUUGUAACAUGGUGAUUUGGUUGAACACAAUAAAGUACAGUAGUAACUGAUCUCCCCUUCUUCCUGGAUGAGUGAGCAGAUGAUUAAAUGUUGGUGUCAGCAUCCUUGAGCAUAUUCAGAUGAGCUUCUGCUUCUGUUGAAAAGGAUGCUGUGUUUGAUUGUGGUCCGAAGCUUUGAAGCACUACUUGGCAUCUCCUUCCUUGGAGGUCUCACUGUUUAAACGUAACAGAUUUGAUAGCUUGUUGGUAAGGUGAGGUCCAGCUUGUCUCCACUAGGUCAUCUUCAUGUGAAUCCGGUGGUUAUACGGUUUUGUUUUAGGGAUAUUUCAUUUUUUUAAUAACGGUUUUAGCUGACAUUCAUGGAGAGAAUGAAUCCUUAGAACUGUGCCACUAGUGAAAGGAAAUCCUGUCUAGAGUAUGUUUCUUUACAAAGCUGUGUCACACACCAUCCUUUGGGCCCUCUGCUGGAAAAGUAGAAUCAAGUCUCAAAUAAUGCCUUUUAAAUUGUAUCCUCUAGUAUUAUAGAUGUAGGACAGUACUGUAUCAUACCUCUGUGGAUGUAAAAUAGCUUGUACCUGCUUUAUGAUACGUAGUAGUGACCGUGCUUUAUCAGAGCUGUUUUUAAUGAUGUUGCUCAGAAUGUUUUCUUUCCAGAUGAUGAUUGAGAAGCUAAUUUAAAAAAAAAUGGUGCCAGGUACCACAAGAGUAACAGAACUGUGCUGUUUUCUGGGGUUUUGUUUUUUUACUUUUUUUUUUUAAUGGAGUGUGCUGGAUGUCUCUACAGUUUUGUUCAGAUGACUGCAGAACCUGGAAAAGCUGUUGCUGCUGUUGAUGCAUAACACACUGCUAUUAUUGGUCUUUUUAUAUAAAUAUAAAUAUAUAUAUACAGAUAUAUAAUU
rnacentral:lncRNA from 1 species